GACGUAGGGCGCGAGCGUUGUCCGGAUUUAUUGGGCGUAAAGAGCUCGUAGGCGGCUUGUCGCGUCGACUGUGAAAACCCGAGGCUCAACUUCGGGCUUGCAGUCGAUACGGGCAGGCUAGAGUUCGGUAGGGGGAGACUGGAAUUCCUGGUGUAGCGGUGAAAUGCGCAGAUAUCAGGAGGAACACCGAUGGCGAAGGCAGGUCUCUGGGCCGAUACUGACGCUGAGGAGCGAAAGCGUGGGGAGCGAACAGG
rnacentral:rRNA from 1 species